CAUCGCCUCCUGCUUAUAGUAGCAUAGGAGGUCCCGCCUGCCCUGUGACCAAAAGUUUAACGGCCGCGGUAUUUUAACCGUGCAAAGGUAGCGCAAUCAAUUGUCUUUUAAAUGGAGACCUGUAUGAAUGGCAUAACGAGGGUUUUACUGUCUCUUUUUUCUGGUCAAUGAAACUGAUCUGCCCGUGCAGAAGCGGGCAUAAUAACACAAGACGAGAAGACCCUAUGGAGCUUUAGACGCCCACCAACCGCGAAGAGCACCCCGACGACGGGCCACCAAAUAACGCGACCAUGGUAUAAACGUCUUCGGUUGGGGCGACCACGGGGGAACACAAAGCCCCCGAGAGGAUUGGGGAUCCAACCCUAAAACCAAGAGCCACAGCUCUAAGUCACAAAACAUUUGACCCAGAAUGAUCCGGCUCAUUGCCGAUCAACGGACCAAGUUACCCUAGGGAUAACAGCGCAAUCCUCUCCCAGAGUCCAUAUCGACGAGAGGGUUUACGACCUCGAUGUUGGAUCAGGACAUCCUAAUGGUGCAGCCGCUAUUAAGGGUUCGUUUGUUCAACGAUUAAAGUCCUACGUGAUCU
rnacentral:rRNA from 1 species